rnacentral:lncRNA from 1 species
GGAAGUUUAAGAACCAUAGCAUAAUGCUCAGAAACACCUUGCCCCAAGGAAAAAGUGGGCCGUCUAUUUGAGCAAAGUGUUCCUGUCUUCAGCCUCUGUCCAGCUGUGGCUCCAAAGGCAGAGAUGCACUGAGGCUUCUUUCUUGCUGCCAGCAGGUGCAGCAUGUGGUCAAGACUACCUGGCUGCUUUUCAAGCGUGUAGAGAGGGAUGAAGCACUUGGAGCAUCUGGACCUGGUUCAGCAGUGUCAGGCUGUGUGUCUUUGGUCCAGGCAAGCAUCUUCUCUGAGUGCCAGUGACGUUCUCAGCAAAGAAAAUGCCUGAAGACCCAGAGGAAAUGAGGAGCACUCAGUCAGUCAGCGUCACAGGCAUCAGCUGCCUCUGUUUAAUCAACUCCACC